AGAGUUUGAUCAUGGCUCAGGAUGAACGCUGGCGGCGUGCCUAAUACAUGCAAGUCGAGCGGUAAGGCCCUUCGGGGUACACGAGCGGCGGACGGCUGAGUAACACGUAGGAACGUACCCCAAAGUGAGGGAUAAGCACCAGAAAUGGUGUCUAAUACCGCAUGUGCUCUAAGGAGUAAAGCUCCGGCGCUUUGGGAACGGCCUGCGCAUGAUUAGCUAGAUGGUGAGGUAAUGGCUCACCAUGGCGACGAUCAUUAGCUGGUCUGAGAGGAUGAUCAGCCAGACUGGGACUGAGACACGGCCCAGACUCCUACGGGAGGCAGCAGUAGGGAAUUUUCCACAAUGGGCGAAAGCCUGAUGGAGCAACGCCGCGUGCAGGAUGAAUGCCUUCGGGUUGUAAACUGCUUUUAUAUGUGACGAAUAUGACGGUAGCAUAUGAAUAAGGAUCGGCUAACUCCGUGCCAGCAGCCGCGGUCAUACGGAGGAUCCAAGCGUUAUCCGGAAUUACUGGGCGUAAAGAGUUGCGUAGGCGGCAUAGUAAGCAGAUAGUGAAAGCGUGUGGCUCAACCAUACUCACAUUAUCUGAACUGCUAAGCUAGAGGACGAGAGAGGUCACUGGAAUUCCUAGUGUAGGAGUGAAAUCCGUAGAU
rnacentral:rRNA from 1 species